UUAGCUUUAUGAGACUAUAUCAGAAGUGGAUCUGAGCAGCUUGGGCAUCCUUCUAAAGAGAUGUGAAUAAUUCUCAUGUUUCUGACUGGUACCAAGGGAAAAGAAGUCAAGAGUCAGUCUACUGCCGUGACAUGGUGAAAAAACACUGGCACGUGUGUAUUGCAUGUCUCGUGAGCCAGGGAGUAGUAGGAGGGGACGAAAAUCAUGGAGGGCUGUCGGUGCGAGUGGAGCGGUGACUGUCACUGUUAACUUGGUCUCAUCGUGGGGGGCCGAUGAAGGU